UACGUAGGGUGCAAGCGUUGUCCGGAAUUAUUGGGCGUAAAGAGCUCGUAGGCGGUCUGUCGCGUCGGCUGUGAAAACCCGGGGCUCAACCCCGGGCCUGCAGUCGAUACGGGCAGACUAGAGUACUGCAGGGGAGACUGGAAUUCCUGGUGUAGCGGUGGAAUGCGCAGAUAUCAGGAGGAACACCGGUGGCGAAGGCGGGUCUCUGGGCAGUAACUGACGCUGAGGCGCGACAGCGUGGGGAGCAAACAGG
rnacentral:rRNA from 1 species